rnacentral:lncRNA from 1 species
GGGAGGCAGCAGGAAGGAUGAGUCGUUUGCAGUUGCCUUUGAACGGGGGACACUGCCCUCUGCGCCUCACGCUCUGACACUUUCUGUCUUUUACCCUGAAGGCAACGACGGGAAAGGCCAGUGGCCCCGGGGAUGCUGCUGACCACACACGCACUGAGGGUAAGCCCCCAUGGCAGGGGGGACACGCUGGCUCGGGCAGCAGCUCAGCAUUCCUUUACUGGCUGGUCCUCCUCCUGCCCAGCACACUGGGGGCUGGCGGACCAGUGAUGGGAGCUUUCUUUUCUUUUUCUCCCUGCUACCAUUGAAGAAAUGGAAAAGAAGGUGGGAUUUGCGGUCCCCGAGGACCCAGGCUCUGUGUUUGAGAGCGUGGGGAGCAGUGUGCUCUCCUGGCUCUCUCAGGGUCUGGAGAAGGUGAUUCCCCAGCCGGUCCCGGCCCCAGGGACGCUGCAGGCACUCGGGAAGAGCUUCGAGACAAGCAUCGAUGUUCCCGAUCAGGUAGGUGACAGGUCUGAGCAACGGUCUGGCGUAUUUGGGCUUCUAACUCUUCUUACCUUUUCUUUUGCUUAUCUUUUUCUUCCUAUCACUCUUCCAGUGCUAACUGGGAGUGCUAAACCUGCCCUGUGUGGGCUUCUGCCUUCAUCCAUCCCUAGGGAAAGGGCAGGUUUCCCUCCCUGCCCAGAGGGAUGAGCCCCCCCUGGGCUCCCAGGCAAGUUAUGAUCUGUUUUGCUUUUCAGACGGAGGUCCAGGUCCUCAAGGAUGAGGAAGAGGAUGCUCUGGGU